ensembl:lncRNA
CCUCAUUGAAAUGAAUGGAGCAGCGAGUGGCCGCGGGAAAGCAGAGUUAAGCUGGUUUACCUCGUGUCUCUGUUAGAAUAAACCACCUGUUGAACAUUUACCACUCUCCGAGUCGUACCUAGCCCGAGACGACCACAAAGGAUCGAAUCAGUCACUGAUUCGAUCCUUUGUGGUCCAACUUUGAGUCAGAAUGGACAUUAUUUUAGGCUGGAUGACAUAUGUUCUAUUUCUUUCAGCCGUAUUUACCGUUGGCGUAUUUGUUGACCCGUGCAAAGUCACCCAUCAGGGCAAAGCAACGACGUACAACAUCUCAAACCCUAAGAGCAAUCCAACGUGUGAAUACAGCUGGGCUGAUUCUAAUGGCAUUGUACUGGCAAACGAUCAAGAACCCAAAGGAAAAGGAAAUAUAUCCUCAUCUCACCGCUCUCUCACGUUGCCUGGAUGCCUGAAGAAAGUUUGCGUUACAAUUGAUUGCCAUCCGGAGCACUACGAUCCAAUCUGCUGCCCCACUGACUGCACUGCUGCACUAGAACCUCAAGUUGACUUCCCUGCUGCACCAGAACCUCAAGAACACAUUGACCCCACAACCAGCAGCCCGGCUCUGGCUGUAGACUUGACUCCAGGGAAAAUUGCAGGGACUGGGGUCGGGACUGGUGUGGUCAUUGCGAUGGUCAUUGCGGCGGUCUGCUGCAGAAAGAAAAUAAGCAGUUGGUGGGAGCGGUUCAAGAGAGCCUGUUCUUCAAACGAACCACAAAGCGGAAGUGGAGCAGAUGCGAGACCAGAGGUUAUACCGAUGCUAGACGUAGACACGUGACAAGGUUGAGCUCUAUUGGCUGUGGGAGCUGGCAGACUCUUAAUGCUGUACCACAGUGUGCAUUUAUAAAAAGAACGUGACCAUUAGGGAUGUGUCGGUCGCGACUGAUUCGUUACAACGAACGAAUCCCGAACGUGAACGACAAGAACUAGUUCCCCAAAACAAGAAGAACUGGUUCUUUGAUUCUUUUUUUUAACAUAAACCAAACAUAUGGUCACGUAAAUAAAAUAUACAAACGAACAGAGCUCCGUCUCCCCGCGACUUCCAUUGAUUGAGUCUACAACUUUCUCAAAGAUUCAGCCAAUGAGAGGUAGCAAUGGUGUUGGAAUGGCACCUGGGUAAACCAAUGACAAGGCGGUACCGUCGAAUAUGCGCGCUUUCUCUGUCUGACGUAUCUUGGGUCAUACCAUUCGACUCAUAUAUCCCCCUACAUUUUUUCGAAAAUAGACUUGACCUCCAUCUGUUUAUUGGAUAAAUGCAUUUCCCAAUCCCAGGAGUCUUUGCUCCAUUCUACGUCAAUUUAAGAACAAACAAAGAAAUUAAACUGCAGUUCGUAUUUUUAAUUUAUGACCAUGCAAGUUCUGUAAUGCCUGAACAAUGAAGAAUUAAAUGUAAAGUAAAAUAAAAUUAUAAAUGUAAAACCAUGAAUGAAAUAUAGAGAGUAAGCAAGUGGUAUAAAUAUUGGUGGGACGUUUGACAUACUAAAUAGCAGGCAUCUCCAAACGGCGGAUUGCGGUCUUGACGGUCCUAUCCAGACUUACGACCAAUUAAAAAAAAAAAUUAAAAAAAGUUUUUUAUUUUUUAUUUUUAAGAUAAUAAGGUAAUCUGACGUAACGAACGAAUCAAAACGAACGAAUCAAAUAAACGAAUCGUUAUAGUGAACUGAACUGAAAGAACUAGUUCCCGGAGAAGAAUCAUUUUGCCCAUCCCUAGUGGGCAGAUAAGGGAGAGGGAGGUGGGGGCUGUUGGAAAAUUUCCAAGGCCUUGGGAAAGGUGGGGGUUUUACCAGCGGGGACUGAAGGACUGAAGAGGAAUAGAUUUACUUAUGUCAGUGUUACUCAUGUAUCAGGUUUAGGCAUGUAUCAGUUAAAUAUCAUAAAAUCAUGUAUCAUGUUUUAGUAUCAUCAUAUAACAAUCAUUUUCUUUGCUUCUUUGUUUUAGUAUCAUCAUGAAUAUAUCUCUUUCUUUAAUAUCUAUCAUUCACUAUAAGAUUUAUCAUGUUGUUUAGACAUGAUCGGUUAUGGAAGAAAGCACCUAGAAAGAUUACAGCACUUGUGGGUGAAAUGAUGUUGUCAUACGCUUAUGACAUGUUGUAUUGUUUAUCUUACACUUAUGAUAUCUUGUAUUGUUGUAUUGUUUAUCUUACACUUAUGAUAUGUUGUAUUAUGGUAUUGUUUAUCAUUAUAUGUUGUAUUUUACUUAUUAGUAUAAUUUGUGGAACAAGUAACAACAAUCUGAAGGCGUACGUGCCUGAGAGUAGGCCUACGUGCCUGAGAGAAUCUUUGCCAUGGCGCGGUGGAAAAAUACCAGGUCAGAGUGACCUGAUGGCCAGCUGCAUGGGUAAGAGAGAGGGCGGGGCUGACAGUGAAAGUUUUAGAUAAAAGGCGCUGUAGGAAGCAGAGAGAUAGAGACAUCGUCCCGACGGGGGCUCCAUGCGGGGCGGCCCUGGGCCCUUUGCGAUCUCCGGACUUUCGGACUUAGAGAGAUUAGAACAUCCGAUCUCCGGACUUUCGGACUUAGAAAAAUUAGGACAUCCUCUCUCCAACACGCUACAGAGAUGCGUGUCGUAGCCCACUGGGGCAAAGAAGACUACUGGCUGUGGGACCAUUUGAUGAGAAUAUCCUGGCUGUGGGACCAUUUGAUGAGACCGACCCUCCGUGCCCCAGGAGAGAUAGAGCUUCCGUCGACACCGGGGAAGCGUAGUGUAGAGAGGUAAGGAUCAGGAAUCGAAAUUAUUAUAGACUAAAUCAGCUUUAUAAACAAACCCAAUUGAUUAGGCACUAUAUUAUAGGAGAGAUAGGGAUUCCCUCUCUUUUCCUCUGUCAAAACCGGCGUGGAACACCAGCGCUGCUCACUUCUCGACGACACGGAGCGGCCCGUAUCAGAUAGGGGCCAUCGGAGCAACAUUCCAGGGCAGCUCACCCUCCCCAAUCUGAAUCAGUGCGGGGGCCGACGGCAGGGGAACAACGGCCUUUCUCUUCACACAGCUGAGGGGAGUGCUGGACGUAGUGUAGAGAGGUGAGAAAUCGGGAAUCGAAAUUAUCGUAGACAAACCCACCAUGAUGUGUUCCGCAUGUAUUUUAUAUCACUUAUUUAGAAGUGUCACUGACGGCAUUAUAUUAGUCACUAUAUUAUAUGUAUUAACAUGGUUUUUUCUUGAAGGCCUUCACCGCUUGCUGCAAUGUCCCAGAUAUUAAUCCUGCAAAUAAAACUAUAUUCAAACCAUUCCUUUCCAAUCAUUCCAAGGACCUGCUACGGAGGAGUGUAGGUUAGAGCUUCAGUGAACGAACUAACUGUUCUAGUAUAGGCAUCGUGGAUCUAAGAGGUUACCUAGUACAAAGAAAUCAAACGUAUCCCGGGAGUUAGUCAUUCCAAACUCCUAAAAACAUCUCAGCACGGAUCCCAGAGGAGAGCUAUCACAACAGACGUGAUCGGCAUGCCACAUUCCUGGCUACGGGUAAUGCCCAGGGGUGGGGCACCGAGGUAAGAGGGAUAGGCGUCUGAUACAAGGUAGUUAGGGGCUGAGCGAAUCUCCUCACCAACCUGUUACAACCGUUACGGGAUACAGGUUUCACUAGCAUCGCCAUUUAGGGGGUGGUAGAAUUGACGGAUCUGACAACACACAAACAAACAGAGCCUGUUACACUUCUGGUUUUGAAACAGUGCAGUAUCUUACCUCUGGGAGUGGCCCUCAAUGACAGAGAGGAUGGCACUCUUCUUUGGUUUGGACUCCCGCAAUUCACUAUUAUGAAGCGCCUCAAAGAAUGCCUGGCAGUCUUUAUCUGAUGGUCUGAUAUCAGGAAGACCAGGACCUUGAUUUUGGGAGCUUGAACAUGGCUCUUGUUUAUUAGAGAAACUGAUGUUGCAGAUCUCUUCAUAUGGGACCCCUCUGACAGAGUUCAUACUUGUCUGAGCCCAAGCACAGGGCUUCUCCGUGCAAGCCUGCCCGUUUUUCAUAUCAGCAGCAGCCAACACAGAGUACAGAAGAGCUGCUGCAUGAGAGCAGACCUCUCCUAGGCCUGCCUUACAGGUGCAAUGAGCCAUGAGUACUGUCCCAUCCUCUUGUACUGUGAUCCAGGGAUGUGUUGGGGUCACUGAAAGGUUUUGUGAAUGCUUCAACUUUAGUUUGGAACACAAAUCGGGAAUUACAAGUUUAGCAAUAUAGCCAGAUCAAUGAUGUUUAAGUUAUACAUAGCAUUAUCUAAGUUGGGUGGCCUUUUCCUUCACAUCAAAAAGGAGGACACUUUGCAUACAUUGGGUCACGCAAGAAGAUAUUUGUUUGGUAUGAUCCGGUUUUCAUUUUUUAUAUGUUUUUACACCAGAUUAAAUAAAGGUGCCUACACAUACCACAUAGCUAAUAAUUAAUUUACAAUAUACAGCUCAUGACAACGAGCACUUCCAAUUCAGAUUACAUAGGUCUGAUAAACAUCAUACCGAAAUUGUUCUUAAGGUUUUUAUCUGGAUAGUGUAUGUAUAUAUAUGUUUAUAUGUUUUCGCUAAGAAACGUAAGGUCAGUUUUAAAAAGCGAAACACCAUUGGCCAUUGUUAAUUAUUAUCCUAGCAUUGUAGUAAAUGCAUAUCUUACCUUUCCUGUAAAAAGGAACAGCUUCUUCAUCUCCAGAUGAUGAACUCGAGGAUCAUUCACCCAUCCUGAUUUAAAAUACAUGUAAGCUUCCGUGCUUUUGUAUGCCUUGAGGGACUCCCCGGUGUAUGGAGAAGGAUUGUGGACGAGGUAAAUGUAAAUGUCGCCAAAAGACAUGUUGGGCAAGAUAACGACAGAUUUCAGCGGGGUCAGUAGUCGAUUGGGAAGUAAAUAUGGAUCAAAACCUAAAAUGUCAAUUUUUUGGGAAUAGCGUUGCUUUUCUUCAUCAGACAAAAAAAAAAUACCCCAGAAGACCCCAUACUUUGGUUCCUACCUACCUUUAUUCACUCACCGAACAAAAUGUCGGCUGAAGUAUUAAUCGCGGCAGUAACUGGGCACCCGGUGUUGUACGACCCAACCCUUUUUCAGUUCAGAGAUCGAAACGCCAAGGCUCUGGCCUGGGCGGAGGUGUCACGCGUGGUUGGUUGGUCUGGUUAUAUCCGAAGCAACUUACAAUAAGUCAUUUGACAUAAGAAGUGAAACAAUAUAUUGCUGUAAGUGACAUAUAUAAUGAUAAUGACAGCUGUGUUUUCUGUUUUGUGUUCAAUAGUUAAUGAGUGCAUCAAGAAAUGGAAGGGUCUCAGGGACACCUACAGGAAGAAUAGGAAAAAGGAAAAGGAAAGGAGGAAGAGUGGUGCAGGGGCAGGUGGAGGGAAGCCAUGGAAGUAUGCCCGCAUAAUGGCCUUCAUAGAUCCAUUCAUGGAAGACCGCCAUAGCCAGACCAACAUGGCAGGGCCAGUGAGUGAGGGUGAGGAUGACACAGACCAGGCAGCACCAGGUAGAGCAACGGUCGAGCACCAGGAGGCACCAGGGAGAGCACAGGCCGCUGACCAGCUAGCACCACAGACCGCUGACCAGCUAGCACCACAGGCCGCUGACCAGCUAGCACCACAGGCCGCUGACCAGCUAGCACCACAGGCCGAGGAGCAGGCAGCAGGAAAGAGCAGGAGAAAGACAGGACGAGGCAGAGACCAGACUCGUGAUGCUCUUGAUGCGGAGAGGCUCAUCACAGCUAUAGAGGCUGUUAGCAAUCGAGUAGUGAGUCAGAGUCCUCCAGAGGACUCUGACUCACUAUUCUUUCGAAGCCUCCAAGAGGAUUUCAAAAAGCUGUCUCUUAAGACUAGAGAGGGUCUAAAGUUCGAAAUGUACAGCAGGGCUAUUCAACCUCCUUAACAAGUGGGCCGAAAAAGAAAACCACUGGGGGUUCAUGGGCCACACAGAGUAAAACUACGUGAAUGAAUCGCUACAAAUAAAUCGUACAUAAAGUAGUGUUAUCUUAAUAUAUAUAAUACUACUACAUGGAAUAAACUUGUCAGACGCAUUCCUUCCUUCUUCACUUUUAAUCGUAUCAUUAUAAAAGAUUUUGUUCUCACGUAUUUUGGCCACGUAUUUAGAAUUCAACAAUGUUGUUUGAAUCAUCACAAAACAGAACUACUGUACAUAUGAGACAUUUUGAGCCAGUGAGUCAGUGAGAAAGAUUGCCUUGUUUGCCUAGUUUGGCUCAUCCUGAGACACUCAUGCAGCUUCUCAUAGGUCAUGGAGCAACGUGCCCUUAUUCUGAUGGCAUUCAUAUGAGAAAACCUAGACUCACACGUAUCGGUUGUGCCAAACAUUGUCAGAAUAAGUGAUGCCAGCUCCUGAUUGUGGGGUAAUGAUACUGGCUAGUAUCACCGGCUACACACAGAAACCUGAUUUGGAUGCAACUAUGUUUCUCCUUUAUUUUAUUUAUUUUUUGCAUGCAACCUCUUGCGGGCCAGGAAAAAAGUAAGAGGGGCCGCAUUUGGCCCACGGGCCGCUAGUUGAAUAGGCCUGAUGUACAGGAUGGUGUACGAGGCCAAGUGUCGUGAGGUUGACACGUGGGAUGAGGGGAACAGGGUGCAGCUGACAACAUUGUGAGGGGUGUAAUAGUAAGCUUAUUACCCUCGCAGUGCUGUCAGCUGCACCUUGUUCUUCUCCUCACAUGCCACUUAUACACACACACACACACACACACACACACACACACACACACACACACACACACACACACACACACACACACACACACUUCAAUUUUUCAACUUUCUUUUGAUGUUCUCUUUCACAUGUACACAAGUUUGUUUCUUUGUUUGUUAAGUUCCCACAUGUGCACUUUUAUCAGCAUUUGCUGAUUUGUUCAAUUGAAUAAAUAUUUC